UCUCCGUAGGUGAACCUGCGGAGGGAUCAUUACUGAGUGAGGGCUUCGGUCCGACCUCCAACCCUUUGUGAACCAAAACUUGUUGCUUCGGGGGCGACCCUGCCGCUUCGGCGGUGCGGCGCCCCCGGAGGCCAUUAAACACUGCAUCAUUGAGUCGGAGUUAAAGUAAAUUAAACAAAACUAUCAACAGCGGAUCUCGUGGUUCCAGCGACGAUGAAGAACGCAGC
rnacentral:misc_RNA from 1 species